UACGGAGGGGGCUAGCGUUGUUCGGAAUCAUUGGGCGUAAAGGGCGCGUAGGCGGCCGAUCAAGUCUGAUGUGAAAGCCCGGGGCUCACCCCCGGAAGUGCAUUGGAAACUGGUGGACUCGAGUCCCGGAGAGGAGAGUGGAAUUCCUGGUGUAGCGGUGAAAUGCGUAGAUAUCAGGAGGAACACCGGUGGCGAAGGCGGCUCUCUGGACGGUGACUGACGCUGAGACGCGAAAGCGUGGGGAGCAAACAGG
rnacentral:rRNA from 1 species